GGGAAGUCCACGCCUUGUGGCGGCUUACGGAGCUGCUGCUUUGGCGGGAGUUGGCGGCUGGUGUGAGGUUUCUGUGGGGGAAGGAGAGUGCCAGAGGUGACUGGUUCUUCUAGGCUCUCAUGGCCACCAUGUUGGAAGGCAGAUGCCAAACUCAGCCAAGGAGCAGCCCCAGUGGCCGAGAGACUAGCCUGUGGUCCUCAGGCUUUGGGAUGAAGCUGGAGGCUGUCACUCCAUUCCUGGGGAAGUAUCGCCCCUUUGUGGGUCGCUGUUGCCAGACCUGCACCCCCAAGAGCUGGGAGUCCCUCUUCCACAGAAGCAUAACGGACCUAGGCUUCUGCAAUGUGAUCCUGGUGAAGGAGGAGAACACGAGGUUUCGGGGCUGGCUGGUUCGGAGGCUCUGCUAUUUCCUGUGGUCCCUGGAGCAGCACAUCCCCCCCUGCCAGGAUGCCCCACAGAAGAUCAUGGAAAGUACCAGGGUACAGAACCUCCUCUCAGGGAGGGUCCCAGGAGGCGCUGGGGAAGGCCAGGUGCCCGACCUUGUGAAGAAGGAGGUACAGCGCAUCCUGGGUCACACCCAGGCCCCACCCUGUUCCUUCCUGGUCAGGCUGUUCAGCUGGGCGCUGCUGCGGUUCCUGAACUGCCUCUUCCUGAAUGUGCAGCUCCACAAGGGUCAGAUGAAGAUGGUCCAGAAGGCCGCCCAGGCAGGCUCGCCGCUUGUCCUCCUCUCUACUCACAAAACCCUCCUGGACGGGAUCCUGCUGCCCUUUUUGCUGCUCUCCCAGGGCCUGGGUGUGCUCCGUGUGGCCUGGGACUCCCGCGCCUGCUCCCCUGCCCUCAGAGCUCUGCUGAGGAAGCUUGGGGGACUUUUCCUGCCCCCAGAGGCCAACUUCUCCCUGGACAACUCUGAGGGGCUCCUUGCAAGGGCUGUGGUCCAGGCGGUCAUAGAGCAGCUGCUGGUUAGUGGGCAGCCCCUGCUCAUCUUCCUGGAGGAACCUCUUGGGGCUCUGGGGCCACGGCUGUCAGCCCUGGGCCAGGCUUGGGUGGGGUUUGUGGUGCAGGCAGUCCAGGUGGGCAUCGUCCCAGAUGCUCUGCUGGUACCAGUGGCCAUCACCUAUGACCUGGUUCCGGAUGCACCGUGUGACACAGACCAUGCCUUGGCCCCCCUGGGGCUGUGGACAGGAGCUCUGGCUGUCCUACGUAGUCUGUGGAGCCACUGGGGCUGCAGCUGCUGGAUCUGCUCCCGGGUGCACCUAGCUCAGCCCUUUUCCCUGCAGGAAUACAUCGUCAGUGCCAGAAGCUGCUGGGGCGGCAGGCAGACCCUGGAGCAGCUACUGCAGCCCAUCGUGCUGGGCCAAUGUACUGCUGUCCCAGACACUGAGAAGGAGCAGGAGUGGACCCCCAUAACUGGGCCUCUCCUGGCCCUCAAGGAAGAGGACCAGCUCCUGGUCAGGAGACUGAGCUGUCAUGUCCUGAGUGCCAGUGUGGGGAGCUCUGCGGUGAUGAGCACGGCCAUCAUGGCAACGCUGCUGCUAGUCAAGCACCAGAAGGGUGUGUUCCUGUCGCAGCUCCUGGGGGAGUUCUCCUGGCUGACGGAGGAGAUACUGUUGCGUGGCUUUGAUGUAGGCUUCUCUGGGCAGCUGCGGAGCCUGCUGCAGCACUCACUGAGCCUGCUGCGGGCGCACGUGGCCCUGCUGCGCAUCCGCCAGGGCGACUUGCUGGUGGUGCCGCGGCCUGGCCCAGGCCUCAUGCACCUGGCACGGCUGAGUGCUGAGCUGCUGCCCGUCUUCCUGAGCGAGGCUGUGGGCGCCUGUGCGGUGCGGGGGCUGCUGGCAGGCAGAGUGCCGCCCCAGGGGCCCUGGGAGCUGCAGGGCAUGUUGCUGCUGAGCCAGAAUGAGCUGUACUGCCAGAUCCUGCUGCUGAUGCACCUGCUGCCGCAAGACCUGCUGCUGCUAAAGCCCUGCCAGUCUUCCUACUGCUACUGUCAGGAGGUGCUGGACCGGCUCAUCCAGUGCGGGCUCCUGGUUGCUGAGGAGACCCCAGGCUCCCGGCCAGCCUGUGACACAGGGCGACAGCGAUUGAGCAGAAAGCUGCUGUGGAAACCGAGUGGGGACUUUACUGAUAGUGACAGUGAUGACUUCGAAGAGGCUGAGGGCCGGUACUUCAGGGUGUGUUUCAAAAAGCUGCCCCUGGAGGGAGGUGGGAGGGAGGCGGUGGGGAGCUGCACUCACCCCGGCCUGUCCCCUCUAGCUCAGCCAGCAGUCACACUGCCCAGACUUCUUUCUCUUCCUCUGCCGCCUGCUCAGCCCGUUGCUCAAGGCCUUUGCACAGGCUGCCGCCUUGAUACUGGUGAGACCCUUGUUCCCUUGCAGUCCUCGAGGCAGGCUCUGUCUGUGCUGGGCGCCAGGUCUAGGUCUUCUCUCUUCUGCAGUCGGGCUACACAGAGCAGCUGUUCCAGUUCCUGCAGGCCACCGCCCAGGAAGAAGGGAUCCUCGAGUAUGCGGACCCAAAGCUCGCCAUCAGUGCUAUCUGGACCUUCAGAGACCUAGGGGUUCUGCAGCAGACGCCGAGCCCUGCAGGCCCCAGGCUCCACCUGUCCCCUACUUUUGCCAGGCGGGACAAUCAGGAAAAACUAGAACAGUUCAUCCGGCAGUUCAUUUGUAGCUAGAACUGUGAGGAGGAGCCUGUGCUGAGACUUCUCAGCCCCAGAACACAGCUGUGUCCUAGAGCCAGAAGAUGGAGAGGAGCCUGCAAACCCUUAGCUGGUCUAUAAAUAUAAUCAUUGAGGCUUGA
rnacentral:sRNA from 1 species